GAUGAACGCUGGCGGCGUGCUUAACACAUGCAAGUCGAACGAUGAAGCCCAGCUUGCCGGGUGGAUUAGUGGCGAACGGGUGAGUAACACGUGAGUAACCUGCCCUUAACUCUGGGAUAAGCCUGGGAAACUGGGUCUAAUACCGGAUAGGAGCGUCCACCGCAUGGUGGGUGUUGGAAAGAUUUAUCGGUUUUGGAUGGACUCGCGGCCUAUCAGCGUGUUGGUGAGGUAAUGGCUCACCAAGGCGACGACGGGUAGCCGGCCUGAGAGGGUGACCGGCCACACUGGGACUGAGCCACGGCCCAGACUACUACGGGAGGCAGCAGUGGGGAAUAUUGCACAAUGGGCGCAAGCCUGAUGCAGCGACGCCGCGUGAGGGAUGACGGCCUUCGGGUUGUAAACCUCUUUCAGUAGGGAAGAAGCGAAAGUGACGGUACCUGCAGAAGAAGCACCGGCUAACUACGUG
rnacentral:rRNA from 1 species